rnacentral:rRNA from 1 species
CAGUAGCGUAUAUUAAAGUUGUUGCAGUUAAAAAGCUCGUAGUUGGACUUCUGCGGGUGGCGGCCGGUCGUGCCCUUUUGUGGCGUGAACUUGGCUCUUUGCCGCCCGCAUCUUUGGGGAGAUUGUGCGUGGCAUUAGGUUGUCGUGCAUGGGAUUCUCAUCAUUUACUGUGAAAAAAUUAGAGUGUUUAAAGCAGGCCUUUGCCUUGAAUACAUUAGCAUGGAAUAAUAAGAUAGGACCGUUGUCUAUUUUGUUGGUUUACAGAUGUCGGUAAUGAUUAAUAGGGAUAGUUGGGGGUAUUCGUAUUCAGUUGUCAGAGGUGAAAUUCUUGGAUUUUCGGAAGACGCACGACUGCGAAAGCAUUUACCAAGGAUGUUUUCAUUAA